CACGUAGGGCGCAAGCGUUGUCCGGAAUUAUUGGGCGUAAAGAGCUCGUAGGCGGUUAGUCGCGUCUGCUGUGAAAACUCGGGGCUUAACUCCGGGCCUGCAGUGGGUACGGGCUGACUAGAGUGCGGUAGGGGAGACUGGAAUUCCUGGUGUAGCGGUGAAAUGCGCAGAUAUCAGGAGGAACACCGGUGGCGAAGGCGGGUCUCUGGGCCGUAACUGACGCUGAGGAGCGAAAGCGUGGGGAGCGAACAGG
rnacentral:rRNA from 1 species